UACGUAGGAUGCAAGCGUUGUCCGGAAUUACUGGGCGUAAAGCGCACGUAGGCGGAUUUGUAAGUCUGUCGUGAAAGCCCCGGGCUCAACCUGGGAAUUGCGUCCGAUACUGGAAGGCUUGAAUCCGGGAGAGGGAUGCGGAAUUCCAGGUGUAGCGGUGAAAUGCGCAGAUAUCAGGAGGAACACCGAUGGCGAAGGCAGGUCUCUGGGCAUUAACUGACGCUGAGGAGCGAAAGCAUGGGGAGCGAACAGG
rnacentral:rRNA from 1 species